rnacentral:rRNA from 1 species
CUUGGUCAUUUAGAGGAAGUAAAAGUCGUAACAAGGUUUCCGUAGGUGAACCUGCGGAAGGAUCAUUAACGAGUUAGGGUCUUCUAGGCCCGACCUCCCAACCCUAUGUUUAUUGAACCUCUGUUGCUUCGGCGGACCCGUCUCAUGACCGCCGGAGGACCGCCGAAAGGCGUCCUCUGGCCAGCGUCCGCCGAUGGCCAACCACUUAAAACUCUGAAUGAAUCGUGUCAUAUGUCUAAGUCUAUGAUUAAAUUAAAGCAAAACUUUCAACAACGGAUCUCUUGGUUCUGGCAUCGAUGAAGAACGCAGCGAAAUGCGAUAAGUAAUGCGAAUUGCAGAAUUCCAGUGAGUCAUCGAAUCUUUGAACGCACAUUGCGCCCUUUGGUAUUCCGAAGGGCAUGCCUGUUCGAGCGUCAUUAUCACCCCUCAAGCCCCGCGCUUGGUGUUGGACGGCCGGUCGAGCGAUCGACCCCUCCUAAAGACAAUGACGGCGGCCUGCGGUUCCCCCGGUACACUGAGCUUUUAACCGAGCACGUAUCGGACCAGGGCACCCGGGACCCGGUCCUCUCCUUUAACUAGGAAACUUCUAAGGUUGACCUCGGAUCAGGUAGGAAUACGCGCUGAACUUAAGCAUAUCAAUAAGCGCAGGAAAAGAAACCAACAGGGAUUACCUCAGUAACGGCGAGUGAAGCGGUAAUAGCUCAAAUUUGAAAUCUGGCCUCUCGGGGUCCGAGUUGUAAUUUGUAGAGGAUGUUUUGGGUACCGCCCCGGUCUAAAUUUCUUGGAACAGAAUGUCACAGAGGGUGAGAAUCCCGUCUUGGACCGGCGGUAGGGCCUGUGUAAAACUCCUUCGACGAGUCGAGUUGUUUGGGAAUGCAGCUCAAAUUGGGUGGUAAUUUCAUCUAAAGCUAAAUAUUGGCCAGAGACCGAUAGCGCACAAGUAGAGUGAUCGAAAGAUGAAAAGCACUUUGAAAAGAGAGUUAAACAGUAUGUGAAAUUGUUGAAAGGGAAGCGCUUGCAACCAGACUUGAGCGCGGCGGUUCCCCCGGUCUUUUGGCCGGGCUACUCCGUCGUGUCCAGGCCAACAUCGGUUCUGAGGGUCGGUCAAAGGCCUAGGGAAUGUAUCUACCCACGGGUAGACUUAUAGACCAGGGUGUCAUGCGGCCUCUCGGGACCGAGGAACGCGCUUCGGCUCGGAUGUUGGCGUAAUGGUUGUCAGCGACCUGUCUUGAAACACGGACC